AGUGAACGCUGGCGGUAGGCCUAACACAUGCAAGUCGAACGGCAGCACAGUAAGAGCUUGCUCUUACGGGUGGCGAGUGGCGGACGGGUGAGAAAUACAUCGGAAUCUACUUUUUCGUGGGGGAUAACGUAGGGAAACUUACGCUAAUACCGCGUACGACCUACGGGUGAAAGCAGGGGAUCUUCGGACCUUGCGCGAUUGAAUGAGCCGAUGUCGGAUUAGCUAGUUGGCGGGGUAAAGGCCCACCAAGGCGACGAUCCGUAGCUGGUCUGAGAGGAUGAUCAGCCACACUGGAACUGAGACACGGUCCAGACUCCUACGGGAGGCAGCAGUGGGGAAUAUUGGACAAUGGGCGCAAGCCUGAUCCAGCCAUACCGCGUGGGUGAAGAAGGCCUUCGGGUUGUAAAGCCCUUUUGUUGGGAAAGAAAAGCAGCAGGUUAAUACCCCGCUGUUCUGACGGUACCCAAAGAAUAAGCACCGGCUAACUUCGUG
rnacentral:rRNA from 1 species